AAAAAAAUUCAAUGAAUACAAAUUCAGGACAUCCACCUAUAGUUCUUUCAUUAAAUAGACUUUUCUUGUUGAUACCAUCCAUUCCUACCCACGAUUAAUUGUUAAUAAUUAAAGAAACCCCAUGUAUCUCAAAUUCUCACCCUAAAUUUUCAGUAUAUAAAAGCCAAAGAGCCCAAAAUAAACAAGAACACAAAGCCUACGUCCCUCUUGGUGGGUGGGUAUUGCUGUAGUUGCUAAGUUACAGGUUGAAAUGGGUGGAAGAGGCCAUAUUAAUGGUGCAAAGUUGGAUUUGAAGCUGAAUCUGUCGCCGCCUAGGGAUAAUAAUCAUCAAGCAGCUGAGUCUAGCGCCUCUACAUCGGAAAUAUUGUCACCGAAGAGUUCAUGCGUGUCAUCGGAGAGUGAUUCAGAGAUGAGUAACUACGCCAGCAGCCCAGAAAAUCGUUCCAUGAUGCUGGCGGGUUGUCCUCGAUGCCUCAUGUACGUGAUGUUAUCAGAUGUGAAUCCCAAAUGCCCAAAGUGCAAGAGCACCGUCUUGCUUGAUGUUCUCAGCGACAAAAGCACCAAGAAGACAAUAAACUGAUCAUGCUCUAACUAGCCUUCUUCUUCUUCUUCUUAUUCUUCUUUUUCCUUUUUUUUUUUUUCUUUUUCUUGAUAACUUGCAGUUACUUAGCGUCUUCAUCUUCUUCUUCUUAUAUUUUCUUUUGGUUUUGCUGUGCACAAGACAGAGGAAUGAAAAGGGCCAACCACCCACAUAAAUAUAUUUAGGGUAUAAUCGCCUCUGUGUGUGCAUAUAUUUUUUUUCUUCGGCUGUAUCCUUCGUCUUGUUUGCAACCAAAAAUUAAUCUAGUAUUUUUCUCUGUUAAAAUAAA